CCUACGGGAGGCAGCAGUGAGGAAUAUUGGUCAAUGGACGAGAGUCUGACCCAGCAAAGUAGCGUGAAGGAUGACUGCCCUAUGGGUGGUAAACUUCUUUUAUAUGGGAAUAAAAUGUUACACGUGUGGGAUUUUGUAUGUACCAUAUGAAUAAGGAUCGGCUAACUCCGUGCCAGCAGCCGCGGUAAUACGGAGGAUCCGAGCGUUAUCAGGAUUUAUUGGGUUUAAAGGGAGCGUAGGUGGAUUGUUAAGUCAGUUGUGAACGUUUGCGGCUCAACCGUAAAAUUGCAGUUGAAACUGGCAGUCUUGAGUACAGUAGAGGUGGGCGGAAUUCGUGGUGUAGCGGUGAAAUGCUUAGAUAUCACGAAGAACUCCGAUUGCGAAGGCAGCUCACUGGACUGCAACUGACACUGAGGCUCGAAAGUGUGGGUAUCAAACAGGAUUAGAUACCCGGGUAGUC
rnacentral:rRNA from 1 species